UACGGGAGGAGCAGUGGGGAAUAUUGCACAAUGGGCGCAAGCCUGAUGCAGCCAUGCCGCGUGUAUGAAGAAGGCCUUCGGGUUGUAAAGUACUUUCAGUCGUGAGGAAGGUGUUAAGGUUAAUAACCUUAGCAAUUGACGUUAGCGACAGAAGAAGCACCGGCUAACUCCGUGCCAGCAGCCGCGGUAAUACGGAGGGUGCGAGCGUUAAUCGGAAUUACUGGGCGUAAAGGGCACGCAGGCGGUUAAUUAAGUUGGAUGUGAAAUCCCCGGGCUUAACCUGGGAAUGGCAUUCAAGACUGGUUAGCUAGAGUCUUGUAGAGGGGGUAGAAUUCCAUGUGUAGCGGUGAAAUGCGUAGAGAUGUGGAGGAAUACCGGUGGCGAAGGCGGCCCCUGGACAAAGACUGACGCUCAUGUGCGAAAGCGUGGGGAGCAAACGAGGGAUUAGAUAC
rnacentral:rRNA from 1 species